AUAAACUACUAAAAGAACUUAGAGAAAUUCCAAACUAAUAAAAAACACAAGACCACAACAAACAAAACCAAAGAUGUCGCUUCACGACAAAAAGGAAAAAUCACUUAUCUUCCAACAUUGUUUUAGGACAGCACCCCCUUAACAGGGCCAUUUUCUGGGUUAGGUUUCUUCCCUACUAUGGAAAUGUAAACUAUAUUAAUUCUGGAAAAGUUUCUUCCAGUCAAUACAAACAUUUUAUAAAUAUUUCUACACUUGUCGAAGAACUCAGAGACAGGAACAUGGGGCUGGUCCACCUGGACACCUUUGCAGGAGCACUCAGGGAUAGGAACAUGAGGCGCAUCCACCUGGACACCCUUGUCAAAGAACUCAAGGACAGGAACGUGAGACGGUUCUACCUGGACACCUUCGUCGGAGACCUCAGGAACUGGAUCACAAGCCAGCUGCACCAGCUUGGGCGAGGAGUGGGCACUGGCGCUCCGACUCAGCUUGAUACAGGCUCUGGUGCUCAGAAGCUGCAGGCAGCAGGCACAGGGACAUUGAGGUGGCGGGAAGCAGGCUCUGAGAAUGCAAAGACUAAUCCUCUGCCACUGACUGCACAGCCAAAUUGGUAGAAUCAUCCACUCACAGCACAGCCAAAUGGGAAGGAUCGUCCACUGAAAGCCCACGCUGGAGCUGGGGAAAUGGAUGUGGGCGUGCUGAUGCAGAUCCACACCAACCCUCGAGGAAGGAGUGCAAGGAGUUGGAUUCAGAGGAUGCCAGCAGGGUUUUCUGUUCCGGCUUCACUUGUUUCAAGUGGUGGUCUGCUCUGACGGAGCGGACAGGUGCUGUAGCGCCGCAAGCCGGUUCCCAGAGGAAAAAUCGCCACUCUUGAGCCCCAGAAAGGCGAUCGGUGCUCCGACUCAUCCUCAGCCCAUGUUCUUCUCCGCCUGCCAUCUGAAGUAAUCAAAAAGAGUGAUUACCUCCAUCCCUGUUGCUUGGUCCAUUUUCUGGUUGGGUUCUUCUGUCAUAAUUUAAGUUUGUUGAGGACCAAAGUGUCAACAGGACACCAGCAGGCACAUGGUGGAUGGAUUUAUUUUAAUGGAAAGGAUGAUAACUUACAGGGAUGAAGGAAACACAGGAGCCAGGGAGACAGCAACAGAGAACCCAACAAGAACUGCACGGAAAACAGGUCUAUCAAACCAAAGGUUCCAGAAACAACAUGGGACCUUGACUCCAAGGAAAAGAAAUGAGAGACAAAGCUUCUACAAGAAUGAACAGAGAAGGAAGGAGGACAGGCUUUACUCUGGUUAACACUGAGCUGAUGUGCAGUGAGACAGAAGUGGAGAAAAUAGAGGUUGCUGUCUAAGACAAUAUCUCUUCCUUCCCUUGGUUCUGUUUUUCUCUCAAUCUGAGCAGGGUCUAAAUAAUUUAAGGCUGUACAGUACAGCCGGUGAUAAAGUCAACCAAACAGCAGAAGCCCUGACAGAGACAUGAGGAGAGGACAAGAAACACCCUCAUUCAAUAUUUGACUCUCCGUGAUAAGAAGGACACACUGUGCUCACAUUCUGCAAAAAGAGGAGAAUUUCACAAGAUUUGUGUGCCAGAAAAUGCAGUUUUACUGUAAAACAUCUACUAUCGCUUCAGAAAGGCUUUUUGAUGUGAAUGUCUUCUGGUUUGUAAAGGAAGAUAUUGCGGUAAUACUUCUAAGCAUCAUUUGCAUUUUACUGUAUAUGAGGUUAAAUAGAUGGAGCAAUUCCUUGUCAGUUGUUUGUCAUUAUUUGAAGGUUUGUAGAGGAUCCUCUUUACAUCAAUCCUAACUUAAAGAUAAAGAAUGUGCAUUUUGUGUUAAGAAUUGUAAUUUGUCAUGAUAACAACAAAGUCUAAUGAUGUUUGCAAACCACAGCAUGGCUGGGAUUGUUACUUUCCUCAUGGGAAGUAUUUUUCCUCACUGCUGGUUCCCUCACAGCAUCAAUAAUAAUCAAUGCAUAGUGGCUCUAAAAAAAAAAAAAAAUUCAAAUAAAGCAUUGCAAUGACUUUGUGGCAAUGUGUACACUCUUGGUAUAAUACCUUCUUUAAGCGCUGUUUGAUUCUGUUUUAGCUUCACACCAUUAUAGUGAAUCUGAUGAUGAGUAUGAAAUAAAGUCCAUCUGUCCAUAGGGUUGUUCUGACAUUUGCUUAUUUGCAUCAUUCAGCUGAGGGGAAUUUGCCAAAUAAAAGAUCAAAAGGCUUACCAUUGUGCAUAAGUAUUUAGCGACAGGUGGGCCUGUCCAUCAAGGGCGACAUAUAGCACAGACAGCCAUACAUGCCUGGUUUUGGACUCUGGGAGGAAGCUGGAGUACCCAGAGAGAACCCCUGGUGCAAA